rnacentral:lncRNA from 1 species
AUCCACCACACAGCUCCACACCCAUCCAGCACCAUCCACCACACAGCUCCACAUCCACCACACAGCUCCAGAUCCACCACACAGCUCCACAUCCAUCCAGCACCAUCCACCACACUGCUCCACAUCCACCACACAGCUCCACACCCAUUCAGCACCAUCCCACCAACCACUCCAGCCCUGCUGACAUUUUUCAUGGAAAGGAUGAACACCCAGCACCCAAGUGGGAUCAGCACAGCUCCCAGCCCCCUCCAGGUUCUCAGGGCUCAGAGUUGUACGUGGCUGACAGUGACACCCAACUAGAUGGCAAUAGUCAUACUUUUGGGGACACAUUUUGCACUCCACCCCAUCACCAACGCCCUGCAUCAUCCCCCAGGGCACCUUCCCUGCCUCCUGCUCCAUCCCACCACCCAAACCCACACCCUGAACCAUCCCAUCAGCUAAACCCUCAUCCCAUCCAGCGCCCAACCCAGAACCACCAUCCCACCAACAGCUCCAGCCCCGCCGGCGCUGUCCAUGGCAGAGACGAACACCCAACAGCCAGGACGGCUCCGGGGGACGUGUCACCGAACAGACUGUGCUGGCUUGGGGCAAAAAACAAACCCGGCAGGGCUUGGAGGGAGAGAGCUAACCUUGACACAGUUGCAGCAGUCACUAAUAGCAGGCAAUAUGCCUGUUCUUGGGGGACUGUUGCAGUUGCUAAGAUACUGGCAGCCGUGUGAAUGGAAAUGGGUCAGUAAACCUGUGGAGAGAUAGUGUGACACUGUAACCGGCACAGCUGUUGCAGCCUACAUCGAAAUCCCACCCUUUCAAUAUUUAUCACUCUCCGCCUUCGGUUCCUUCCUCCCAGCAAUUUUUUCCACGUUGGUUUUGCCCGGGGUUGGUGAAAUCACCCCGAAGACUUUAAUGAGAUGAGAGGUGGUGGAGCGAUGGGAUGGGGUGGAAAAAACACGGUGCAGGGGGAUGAGGAGGGAAAUUAAAGCCCCCAUUUUGGGUGGGUGUCUGUCCCCCCCUCCCCACCCCACCCCAUGAGUAGGAUGGAGCCGGUUCUUGGAGAGAUUUAACAGGAAACAGGCUAUAAUCCCCCUGGUAGGAAAACGGGUGAAAAGGUCAAUUUACUUCUGUCCCUCGUUUAGGCACUGUGGUGAAAUUACACACUUGCAGGAGCCGCUGCGCAUGGCUGGGAGCGGAGCGAGCAGCGCUCGUGUCCGUCCUGGGCUGUCUGUGUGUCCGCCCCGCCUGCUGCGUGCCCUGAGCCUUCCCAAGGCACCCCGACCACGGGCAGCUCUCCCACGGGCCAGGAGCAGCACCAGGAACCCCCUGGC